rnacentral:rRNA from 1 species
GAUGAACGCUGGCGGCGUGCCUAAUACAUGCAAGUCGAGCGAACAGACGAGGAGCUUGCUCCUCUGUCGUUAGCGGCGGACGGGUGAGUAACACGUGGAUAACCUACCUAUAAGACUGGGAUAACUUCGGGAAACCGGAGCUAAUACCGGAUAAUAUAUUGAACCGCAUGGUUCAAUAGUGAAAGACGGUUUUGCUGUCACUUAUAGAUGGAUCCGCGCCGCAUUAGCUAGUUGGUAAGGUAACGGCUUACCAAGGCAACGAUGCGUAGCCGACCGGAGAGGGUGAUCGGCCACACUGGAGCUGAGACACGGUCCAGAGUCCUACGGGAGGCAGCAGUAGGGAAUCUUCCGCAAUGGGCGAAAGCCUGACGGAGCAACGCCGCGUGAGUGAUGAAGGUCUUCGGAUCGUAAAACUCUGUUAUUAGGGAAGAACAAAUGUGUAAGUAACUAUGCACGUCUUGACGGUACCUAAUCAGAAAGCCACGGCUAACUACGUG